UACGUAGGGACCAAGCGUUGUUCGGAUUUACUGGGCGUAAAGGGCGCGUAGGCGGCAAUUCAAGUCAGUUGUGAAAUCUCCGAGCUUAACUCGGAACGGUCAACUGAUACUGCUUUGCUAGAGUACAGAAGGGGCAAUCGGAAUUCUUGGUGUAGCGGUGAAAUGCGUAGAUAUCUGGAGGAAUACCGGUGGCGAAGGCGGCAUCCUGGACCAUUACUGACGCUGAGGCGCGAAAGCUAGGGGAGCAAACGGG
rnacentral:rRNA from 1 species